GACGAACGCUGGCGGCGUGCCUAAUACAUGCAAGUAGAACGCUGAAGGGGGAGCUUGCUUCUCCGGAUGAGUUGCGAACGGGUGAGUAACGCGUAGGUAACCUGCCUGGUAGCGGGGGAUAACUAUUGGAAACGAUAGCUAAUACCGCAUAACAGUAGGUGUUGCAUGACAUUUGCUUAAAAGGUGCAAUUGCAUCACUACCAGAUGGACCUGCGUUGUAUUAGCUAGUUGGUGAGGUAACGGCUCACCAAGGCGACGAUACAUAGCCGACCUGAGAGGGUGAUCGGCCACACUGGGACUGAGACACGGCCCAGACUCCUACGGGAGGCAGCAGUAGGGAAUCUUCGGCAAUGGACGGAAGUCUGACCGAGCAACGCCGCGUGAGUGAAGAAGGUUUUCGGAUCGUAAAGCUCUGUUGUAAGAGAAGAACGAGUGUGAGAGUGGAAAGUUCACACUGUGACGGUAUCUUACCAGAAAGGGACGGCUAACUACGUG
rnacentral:rRNA from 1 species